UAGCCAUGGUGUGGGCAUGUGAGAAGUAAGUCCUUGAAUUGUUCCCAAUACUCGAAAAAAGUUUCAUCUCUUUUUUUGGGAGAAGUUCAUUAUAUCUCAUCUGAGAGU